UCUGCCUCGUCUCUCAGGGGUAAAAGACUGUUAGAAACUGAUCAUUACUCCUGUAAUAAUAAGCUAAUUGUUUUGUGUGUUGAGGCUACCACUAACUCACACAGACUUAGACAUGCGCAUCCAAAGUCUAGAAGACGACAGGAACGUUUUGAAACUUUGGACAACUAUAUUCCUCAAUCAUAGUACAUAGGCAUUAUAAUAUAAAUUUUGUCAUUUUAACUUAGACAUUAAAGUUAUUACUGUCACCCAUUGAUUAAAAACCCCCUACCUUUAAAAUUGCAUAUUAUUACUUUAACAGAUAUUUAUGACAUACUAAGUCUAUCUUUAUAUCUAAAGAACAGCUUUAAUAUUUUAUAAGAGUUUUACAGAUCAAAAACGUUAAGAUUGUUAAGCAACAGAAUUUUGCAUUUACCUUGAAUGUAAAUAACCAACAAUUCUUUUAAUUUAUGUUAAAAUGUCUUAUAAAGAAAAACAGAUGAAUAUCAAAUAACGUAUCCUAUUACGAAUAAACUUAGCAUUUUAAUAGUUUGAGCAAAAAAAAAUGUGAAGAAGUUUCUUUUUCCAUUUUCUUUUUUUUUCGGGGCUUUUUAAUCUAUGGAGUGUAAUAUAGUAUUAUAGACGUAAGUUUUAUUAAAGUAUUUAAUGAGUAAUAUUUUGAAACUAGUAAUCAUUUAAUAAAGAGAAAUGACGCUUA